UGUGUUCUGAAAAUAAAAGUCAACUUGGCUUGUUCCCCAUCAGUUAUAUAGUUCCUACUGGGUCAGUUCACUUAAAGUGGCAAUAACACAAAUACAUAUGAACAAUUGCAUUAUUAUAUGAUAUAUGUUUGUAAAGAUCGUAAAGAGGGCACACUUUGGGUCAAGCGAAGAGGCCUCAUAAAAUCUUUUGCACACGGUACCAAGAAUUUUCAUAGCUCUUAACCAAUGCGCGCAACACCAACAAAAUAUAUAGACUAUAUAAUAGAAACAUUAGUUAACCACAACAACAGUCUUCAUCUGAGGUUAUAACGUCUGCUUUCAAAGUGUUAAACCUACAAUAACAAUAAAAAACAUUCUCAAAUUUCUAAUUUCUAACAAAUAAGAAAGAAGCAAACAUGCCUUGCCCAUGUGGAACCGGAUGUCAAUGUGGCACUCAGCCUAAGAGCGGUAAUUGUGGCUGCGGCGCNCCGGCC